rnacentral:tRNA from 1 species
GGGCCAGUAGCUCAGUGGUUAGAGCACUACUCUUAUAAAGUAGGAGUCGAUGGUUCGAUCCCAUCCUGGCCCA